rnacentral:rRNA from 1 species
GUAGGUGGCAAGCGUUGUCCGGAAUUAUUGGGCGUAAAGCGCGCGCAGGCGGUUCUUUAAGUCUGAUGUGAAAGCCCACGGCUCAACCUGGAGGGGUCAUUGGAAACUGGAGGAACUUGAGUACAGAAGAGGAAAGCGGAAUUCCACGUGUAGCGGUGAAAUGCGUAGAGAUGUGGAGGAACACCAGUGGCGAAGGCGGCUUUUCUGGUCUGUAACUGACGCUGAGGCGCGAAAGCGUGGGGAGCAAACAGGGAUUAGAUACCCUGGUAGUCCACGCCGUAAACGAUGAGUGCUAAGUGUUAGGGGGGUUUCCGCCCCCUUAGUGCUGCAGCUAACGCAUUAAGCACUCCGCCUGGGGAUACGGCCGCAAGGCUG